rnacentral:rRNA from 1 species
AGUGAACGCUGGCGGUAGGCCUAACACAUGCAAGUCGAACGGCAGCACAGUAAGAGCUUGCUCUUACGGGUGGCGAGUGGCGGACGGGUGAGGAAUACAUCGGAAUCUACUUUUUCGUGGGGGAUAACGUAGGGAAACUUACGCUAAUACCGCAUACGACCUUCGGGUGAAAGCAGGGGAUCUUCGGACCUUGCGCGAUUGAAUGAGCCGAUGUCGGAUUUGCUAGUUGGCGGGGUAAAGGCCCACCAAGGCGACGAUCCGUAGCUUGUCUGAGAGGAUGAUCAGCCACACUGGAACUGAGACACGGUCCAGACUCCUACGGGAGGCAGCAGUGGGGAAUAUUGGACAAUGGGCGCAAGCCUGAUCCAGCCAUACCGCGUGGGUGAAGAAGGCCUUCGGGUUGUAAAGCCCUUUUGUUGGGAAAGAAAAGCAGCAGGUUAAUACCCAGCUGUACUGACGGUACCCAAAGAAUAAGCACCGGCUAACUUCGUG